GAGAAGUCCCUUUCGGGGGGCGGACAGCGGCGAAAGGGAGAGUAAUACGUAGAAAUCUGCCCUCGGGCCUGGGAUAGCGGCGGGAAACUGCCGGUAAUACCAGAUAAUGUCUUCGGACCAAAGGUGUGAUUCCGCCUGAGGAUGAGUCUACGUCCUAUUAGCUAGUUGGCGGGGUAAUGGCCCACCAAGGCGACGAUGGGUAGCGGGUGUGAGAGCAUGACCCGCCUCACUGGGACUGAGACACUGCCCAGACAUCUACGGAUGGCUGCAGUCGAGAAUCUUUGUCAAUGGACGAAAGUCUGAACAAGCGACGCCGCGUGCGGGAUGAAGGCCCUCGGGUUGUAAACCGCUGUCGUAGGGGAACAAAUGUAUGGGGGUUCUCCCCUGUACUUGAGUGAUCCUAGGAGGAAGGACGGGCUAAGUUCGUGCCAGCAGCCGCGGUAAGACGAACCGUCCAAACGUUAUUCGGUAUCACUGGGCUUAAAGAGUUCGUAGGCGGCCAUGUAGGUCAGGUGUGAAAUCCCACAGCUCGACUGUGGAACUGCGCUUGAAACCACAUGGCUCGAGGGAGAUAGAGGUGAGCGGAACAGAUGGUGGAGCGGUGAAAUGCGUUGAUAUCAUCUGGAACACCGGUGGCGAAAGCGGCUCACUGGAUCUUUUCUGACGCUGAGGAACGAAAGCUAGGGUAGCGAACGGGAUUAGAUACCCCGGUAGUCCUAGCCGUAAACGAUGAGCACUAGUCCGUGGAAACUUCCACAUUUUCUCGGACGUAGCGAAAGUGUUAAGUGCUCCGCCUGGGG
rnacentral:rRNA from 1 species